GAUGAACGCUAGCUACAGGCUUAACACAUGCAAGUCGCGGGGCAGCAUGGGGGUUGCUUGCAAUCCCCGAUGGCGACCGGCGCACGGGUGAGUAACGCGUAUCCAACCUGCCCUUCACCACGGGAUAACCCGGCGAAAGUCGGACUAAUACCGUAUGUUGUCCAUUGACGGCAUCCGUUUUGGACGAAAGGCUUGGCGGUGAGGGAUGGGGAUGCGUCCGAUUAGCCAGACGGCGGGGUAACGGCCCACCGUGGCUACGAUCGGUAGGGGUUCUGAGAGGAAGGUCCCCCACACUGGAACUGGGAAACGGGCCAGACUCCUACGGGAGGGAGCAGUGAGGAAUAUUGGUCAAUGGGAGUAAGCCUGAACCAGCCAAGUAGGGUGCAGGAAGACGGCCCUAUGGGUUGUAAACUGCUUUUAUGAGGGGAUAAAGUGGCCCAAGGGUGGGCUUUUGCAGGUACCGCAUGAAUAAGGACCGGCUAAUUCCGUG
rnacentral:rRNA from 1 species